UACGGAGGGGGCGAGCGUUGUUCGGAUUUACUGGGCGUAAAGCGUGCGUAGGUGGUUUCCCAAGUUAGAAGUGAAAGCCCAGGGCUUAACCCUGGAAUUGCUUUUAAAACUGGGUCACUAGAAUUUAGGAGAGGCAAGUGGAAUUCCGAGUGUAGAGGUGAAAUUCGUAGAUAUUCGGAGGAACACCAAUGGCGAAAGCAGCUUGCUGGACUAACAUUGACACUGAGGCACGAAAGCGUGGGGAGCAAAC
rnacentral:rRNA from 1 species